rnacentral:piRNA from 2 species
CUCAGUCGGUAGAGCAUCAGACU